CGGGCUAAACCCGCGUACAUGCCACCGGGGCAUCCCGGAGGCAGGAAAGGCUUCGGCCGGACAGGGAUGGGCAUGCGGCGCAUUAGGCAGUAGGCGGGGUAACGGCCCACCUAACCGACGAUGCGUAGGGGUUCUGAGAGGAAGGUCCCCCACACUGGUACUGAGACACGGACCAGACUCCUACGGGAGGCAGCAGUGAGGAAUAUUGGUCAAUGGUCGGGAGGCUGAACCAGCCAAGCCGCGUGAGGGAUGAAGGUACAGAGUAUCGUAAACCUCUUUUGUCAGGGAACAAAGGCGGGGACGUGUCCCCGGAUGAGUGUACCUGAAGAAAAAGCAUCGGCUAACUCCGUGCCAGCAGCCGCGGUAAUACGGAGGAUGCGAGCGUUAUCCGGAUUUAUUGGGUUUAAAGGGUGCGCAGGCGGUCUGUUAAGUCAGCGGUCAAAGCCCGGGGCUCAACCCCGGCCCGCCGUUGAAACUGGCAGUCUCGAGUUGGAGAGAAGCAUGCGGAAUGCGCGGUGUAGCGGUGAAAUGCAUAGAUAUCGCGCAGAACUCCGAUUGCGAAGGCAGCAUGCCGGCUCCACACUGACGCUGAGGCACGAAAGCGUGGGUAUCGAACAGGAUUAGAUACCCUGGUAGUUCACGCAGUAAACGA
rnacentral:rRNA from 1 species